GAUGAACGCUGGCGGCGUGCUUAACACAUGCAAGUCGAACGAAGCACUCUACUUGAUUUCCUUCGGGAAUGAUUGUUUUGUGACUGAGUGGCGGACGGGUGAGUAACGCGUGGGUAACCUGCCGUAUACAGGGGGACAACAGUUGGAAACGACUGCUAAUACCGCAUAAGCGCACAGGACCGCAUGGUCUGGUGUGAAAAACUCCGGUGGUAUACGAUGGACCCGCGUCUGAUUAGCUAGUUGGUGAGGUAACGGCCCACCAAGGCGACGAUCAGUAGCCGGCCUGAGAGGGUGAACGGCCACAUUGGGACUGAGACACGGCCCAGACUCCUACGGGAGGCAGCAGUGGGGAAUCUUCCGCAAUGGACGAAAGUCUGACGGAGCAAUGCCGCGUGAGUGAUGAAGGUUUUCGGACCGUAAAGCUCUUUUGUUAUGACGAAUGUGCAUGAUGUGAAUAAUGUU
rnacentral:rRNA from 1 species